rnacentral:rRNA from 1 species
UACGUAGGGUGCAAGCGUUUGUCCGGAAUUAUUGGGCGUAAAGAGCUCGUAGGCGGUCUGUCGCGUCGGCUGUGAAAACCUGGGGCUCAACUCCGGGCCUGCAGCCGAUACGGGCAGACUAGAAUUCGGUAGGGGAGACUGGAAUUCCUGGUGUAGCGGUGAAAUGCGCAGAUAUCAGGAGGAACACCGGUGGCGAAGGCGGGUCUCUGGGCCGAUAUUGACGCUGAGGAGCGAAAGCGUGGGGAGCAAACAGG